AGUGAACGCUGGCGGUAGGCCUAACACAUGCCAGUCGAACGGCAGCACAGUAAGAGCUUGCUCUUACGGGUGGCGAGUGGCGGACGGGUGAGGAAUACAUCGGAAUCUACUUUUUCGUGGGGGAUAACGUAGGGAAACUUACGCUAAUACCGCAUACGACCUACGGGUGAAAGCAAGGGAUCUUCGGACCUUGCGCGAUUGAAUGAGCCGAUGUCGGAUUAGCUAGUUGGCGGGGUAAAGGCCCACCAAGGCGACGAUCCGUAGCUGGUCUGAGAGGAUGAUCAGCCACAUGGGAACGGAGACACGGUCCAGACUCCUACGGGAGGCAGCAGUGGGGAAUAUGGGACAAUGGGCGCAAGCCUGAUCCAGCCAGACCGCGUGGGUGAAGAAGGCCUUCGGGUUGUAAAGCCCUUUUGUUGGGAAAGAAAAGCAGCAGGUUAAUACCCCGCUGUUCUGACGGUACCCAAAGAAUAAGCACCGGCUAACUUCGUG
rnacentral:rRNA from 1 species